rnacentral:rRNA from 1 species
UACGGAGGGUGCAAACGUUGCUCGGAAUCAUUGGGCGUAAAGCGCACGUAGGCGGACUGUUAAGUCGGACGUGAAAUCCCUCAGCUUAACUGAGGAAGUGCAUUCGAAACUGGCAGUCUUGAGUACGGGAGAGGGUCGCGGAAUUCCCGGUGUGAGAGGUGAAAUUCGUAGAUAUCGGGAGGAACACCAGUGGCGAAGGCGGCGGCCUGGACCGAUACUGACGCUGAGGUGCGAAAGCGUGGGGAGCAAACAGGG